CACUAAGAAGCUAGAUAGGAACAAGCAACAGCCUUUUAAGCUGUAAACGGGUGGCCCCUAGCCACCCUUAGUGA
rnacentral:tRNA from 1 species